UACGGAGGGUGCAAGCGUUAUCCGGAUUCACUGGGUUUAAAGGGUGCGUAGGUGGGUUGAUAAGUCAGUGGUGAAAAUCCCCGAGCUUAACUUGGGAACUGCCAUUGAUACUAUUGAUCUUGAAUACCGUGGAGGUCAGCGGAAUAUGUCAUGUAGCGGUGAAAUGCUUAGAUAAUGACAUAGAACACCAAUUGCGAAGGCAGCUGGCUACGCGAAUAUUAGACACUGAUGCACGAAAGCGUGGGGAUCAAACAGG
rnacentral:rRNA from 1 species